rnacentral:rRNA from 1 species
ACUCCUACGGGAGGCAGCAGUAGGGAAUCUUCCACAAUGGGCGCAAGCCUGAUGGAGCAACACCGCGUGAGUGAAGAAGGGUUUCGGCUCGUAAAGCUCUGUUGUUAAAGAAGAACACGUAUGAGAGUAACUGUUCAUACGUUGACGGUAUUUAACCAGAAAGUCACGGCUAACUACGUGCCAGCAGCCGCGGUAAUACGUAGGUGGCAAGCGUUAUCCGGAUUUAUUGGGCGUAAAGAGAGUGCAGGCGGUUUUCUAAGUCUGAUGUGAAAGCCUUGGCUUAACCGGAGAAGUAGCAUCGGAAACUGGAUAACUUGAGUGCAGAAGAGGGUAAGGUGGAACGUCCAUGUGUAGCGGUGGAAGUGCGUAGAUAUAU